GACGAACGCUGGCGGCGUGCCUAAUACAUGCAAGUCGAGCGGAUGACGGAGGAGCUUGCUCCUCCUGAUUCAGCGGCGGACGGGUGAGUAACACGUGGGCAACCUGCCCUGUAGAUUGGGAUAACUCCGGGAAACCGGGGCUAAUACCGAAUAAUCCUUCGGACCUCAUGGUCCGAUGUUGAAAGACAGCAUCUCGCUGUCACUACAGGAUGGGCCCGCGGCGCAUUAGCUAGUUGGUGAGGUGACGGCUCACCAAGGCCACGAUGCGUAGCCGAACUGGGAGGGUGGACGGCCGCAGUGGGACUGAGACACGGCCCAGACUCCUACGGGAGGCAGCAGUAGGGAAUCUUCCACAAUGGACGAAAGUCUGAUGGAGCAACGCCGCGUGAGUGAAGAAGGUUCUCGGAUCGUAAAACUCUGUUGUGAGGGAAGAACAAGUACCGGAGUAACUGCCGGUGCCUUGACGGUACCUCAUUAGAAAGCCACGGCUAACUACGUGCCAGCCGCCGCGGUAACAC
rnacentral:rRNA from 1 species